UACUGAAAAUUUAGAAAUAGCAGUCAAAGAAUCAGUAGUUUAGAAUCAGUGGUUCUUUGACUGCUAUUUCUAAAUUUUCAGUA
rnacentral:pre_miRNA from 1 species